GUCUCUGUCUCCUCUGUGGAAACUCAAAAAUGGGUUUGGGUCCUCGAUUGCAAUUGAUCCGGAAUCUCUAUCGAGCAAAAAAUCAAAUUCCAGAAUUGUCCCGUUUGCUUGGGAGCUCAGGAAGAUAUUCAAAUGUCAUUUCACAUGAUUCCAAAUCCUGGGGCAAUUCCUCUUGUUUGGAUGGAAGAUAUCUUAAUCAUCAAUCAUGUAAUAAAUGGACUGUUCCGCUAGCUAUUUGUAGGACCAUGUCAUCCUGUGUAACUAAGGACCCUAGAGGACUUCCUUGGACUCCUGGUACUAAAAUCAUACUUCAAGCAACAACGGUAGCUGAGCUAUCCAAUUUUGGCUAUGCUAGAUUUGUUACAACACAAGCAAAAGCUCCAGCCCAAGCACGACUAAUGGGAGCACUUCAGGUAUCUAUGCAGAGUCCUGGAAUUGUGUAUGAGCCAUAUGCACCUCGUGAAAAGAUUCCUUUCUGGAGAAGGUGGUUUACAAGAAGUGGUUGGCGUAGAACAAAAGAUGAUCUUAUUUUAGAGCUCAAAACUGCGUAUGCCAUUGCUAAAUUGCGAAAAUCUGGAUACUCUAAACAGAAGUUCUAUAAUGAAGCUUUUGACUUGUACAAAGAGAUAAGUACUAAAGUUGCUAAUGGAGACAAAACAUCAUUGAGGAAAUUAGUUACAGAGAAGAUGUAUUCUGCUCUCAAGAAUGAAAUCAAGCAAAGAGAAUCCAGGUGGAGUAAAAUGUAUUGGGAACUGGUGGAACCAGCAGUUCAAAUACAAACACUACGUGCUCGACUGAUUGCCAUUGAUCGGGAAAAUCUUAAUAAGGCGUUUGCACAGCUUACACUUGAAUUUUUGACUAAACAGAAGUAUGAGGCAUAUGAUACAAAUGGAACUGUUGUUGCUGGAGACAAGGACAAGGAGGUUCUUGUGCGUGAGAUAUGGGUUUUUGAGAAAUCUCUCUUCCACCCUGGAGCAUAUUGGCGUCUAUGUGGACGAAUCAACACUUCGUGAGGACAUCAGUUUAUGAACACAACCUCUUCCCGACAAAGGGGGGAGAAAGGAGGUGAAGGGAAAGACUUUAUGCACUAGAUUUACUGAAUGAAAAACCAGCAAAGGUAGGUUUUUCAUUUUUGUUAUGCUUUCUAAUCUGCUGAACAUUAAUUUACCCUUCAGAUGAAGUGCUGCUAGGAUUGUAAUUUGCGACUUGGUAGAGCCAUCUUUAAAUUCAGUGUUGUGAUUGGUUUUGUGGUGUUCGUUGAACAUCAAAGCAUACUAACAUGUUUUGUUAUUAUCUCUGGCAUUCAUGUAUAGAUAAUAGUCUUGGGGGUUGUCCUCCCCCCAUUCAUUUCCUUUACCAAAUCUUGGACUUUGGCCCGUUUCAAAUUUCUACAAAUAUGUGUCAAAUGUGCUAAAUUCAGUCAAGAUUAGGAAUAUUUUGCGGAACUCAAGAGUUGGGCUAAAGUGACUCGGGUAUUCCUGGGAACUGAAGACCAUACCAGGAAUAUCAACAGUCAUCCUUUUUCUUACUCAUGGUAAUCCUUCAACUAAUAUUCAAGGAAAAAGAAAGGAAAACUUUUCUGGCAUAAAGUAAUCCUUGUUGCUUGACGUGUGGGAGAUUCUCUCCCAUAACACUGUGAUUACCUUGCGUUCGGAUGAAGCAAGCCCUCGAUGUUUUUAAUGCAACCUCUGAAGAAUGGGGGAGGAUAUGGAUGAAUUAAAGGGCAGCCCUGAAAGCCUUGGCAUUUUUGGCAUAUUCAUCAAUUUCAUCCUGCCUACAGAAUGUUUUGUGCGGGAUGCUUUAGCCAUUUUCUGCAGACUCUUCAUCUUCAUAGCAAGUUCUGCAGUUCUAGCAGCACAAGACUUGAAGCAGCAUUUGAGUUUGGGAGGCUUUCUUGGCCAUGGAUUUUAUAUCGUCCAGAGACUGCAUGAUUGGAUCAUGCAAACCCUGGAAGCUCAGGCCAUGAAGCCUGUGACUUUAGGACGCAUGCCUGCGCAAUCGCAACAUCGAACUAGCACCAGAAAAGAUCAAAAUCUGCAUUUGACUUCUCAUACAAAUCCAUCUGAAGUGAAGGAUUAUUGUCCAAUGAAUGCAGCAAAACAAACGGAACCGGUUAGGUACCACUCGAGCUUCCCCAGAGAUGAAAGAGAGCUAUCACAACUCCCAAACGGUGUAGAUGAUGAAGUUCUUUCUUCCUGCUCAUCUAUACAAAAGAAAGAUGGUGAAGAUAUGGCAAAAGAUCAGGAGUCAACUGUGCCAACCGUCGUGCUUUUCCCUCAAAAAAGAGCUCCCAAGGAGUCGGUUAGCAAAAAUGAGAAUGUAGAGAUAUUGAAGGAAAUUAAACCAAAUUAUUUUAUUAUUUAAUUUCCUAAAUUCUUUGAGUUUCUUAUUUCAGUGUCUAGUUUUGAUAAGGUAUACUUUCCGUAAUUGAGGCCAGGUCCAAAUAGUAACGAGUCAAGUGUUAGUCCAACUCCUAGUUGGUUUGAAUUGAUUACUCCUUGGGUUAGUCUCUCUCUCUCUGGUUUGAAUUGAUUACUCCCUUGGGUUAGUCUCUCUCUCUCUCUCUCUCUAUAUAUAUAUAUAUAUCGCACUGCUACAAGCAUGUUAACACUUGAGGAGGGACGACUCCAAGGAAUUGCUAGAGUUGUGAGAGCCGUGAGCACAAGAAUGAAAGGUCUCCGGCUUGUCUUUUGUUGUUUUUGAGAUUUGAUUCAAUAAAAUGAUUGAGGCUUGAUUGUGAGUU